rnacentral:rRNA from 1 species
UGCGUAGGCGGCUAGGCAAGUCAGACGUGAAAACCAUGGGCUCAACCUGUGGACUGCGUUUGAAACUGUUUAGCUUGAGUGAAGUAGAGGUAGGCGGAAUUCCCGGUGUAGCGGUGAAAUGCGUAGAGAUCGGGAGGAACACCAGUGGCGAAGGCGGCCUACUGGGCUUUAACUGACGCUGAGGCACGAAAGCAUGGGUAGCAAACA